rnacentral:tRNA from 1 species
GCCCCUAUAGCUUAAUGGUAAAGCGCAUUACUGUUAAUAAUGUUUAUAGAUGUUCGAUUCAACUUAGGGCUU